rnacentral:sRNA from 1 species
AGAUGUUUCAAGGUAGACCUUGCAAGAAUAUGUAUCCUAAUGAAUAUUUUCCUCAUGGAAUAACAAAUGGAGCUAGUUGGUAUAAUGUGCCAGGAGGAAUGCAGGACUGGAACUAUUUACAAACAAAUUGCUUUGAAGUGACUAUUGAACUAGGUUGUGUGAAAUAUCCACUUGAGAAAGAGCUGCCAAACUUUUGGGAACAGAAUCGAAGAUCACUAAUCCAGUUUAUGAAACAGGUUCAUCAGGGCGUCAAAGGAUUUGUUCUAGAUGCCACAGAUGGCAGGGGUAUAUUAAAUGCCACCAUUAGUGUUGCUGAGAUUAAUCACCCAGUGACUACUUACAAAACUGGAGAUUACUGGCGUCUCUUGGUUCCAGGAACUUAUAAAAUCACAGCAUCUGCUCGAGGGUGAGUGACUGAAUGCUUUGAAAUAGAGUGCUUGGAGGACAAACAUGGCUCCAUUCUGGAGGAUUAUUACUAGAACGUUCUAGAGAGCCUGUUAAGCAACUUUGAAUGGAUUGCUGGGAAGUUUAGGGCUGGUUAUACCUUUGACUCUCCUUUAGUGGCAGAUAGAGUACAUG